AAAAGAUGUACCUCUGAAAGUGGAACCUAUAUGCAUGUAUUUUGGAGCUGUAGAGAGAUUGUCAGAUUCUGGCAAUCUGUACAUACUGCUGCACAGAAAAUACUAGAGGUACAGUUUGAUAUGACCCCGUGUAUCUAUCUUCUUAAUGCCCAGCAGGACUUUGUUCUUGAUCCUGACAGAGAAAAUUUGCUUAUGACUAUUACAUACUUUGCUAAGAAAUGUAUUCUUCUAUUGUGGGCCUCUAAUACCCCUCCUACAUUUAAAAUGUGGAUUGACCAGAUUGUUGACUUUCUUCCUCUUGAAAAGCUCACUUAUGACCUCCACAAGAGACAGCCCAAGUUUGAUAGACUCUGGUCUCCACUAUUCAACUAUAUUUCAAACUGGACAGAGUGAACGGGGUGACUAGGGAAAUGCGCAGAUACAUGUUGUGUAAGGUACUGUAAAACCUAAAAACGAAUUAUUGGCCCGUCGUCUCAGCGAAUGCUUGAAAUAGCUGAUAAGAACCUUGAUAGUGCUGCUGCAAGUGUUAUAUGUUUUUUUUUUGUGUGUUUUUAUUUUAAUUUAGUUUUUGAGUACGUGUGCUUAUGUGUGUGUGUGUAUAUAUGUAUGUAUAUGUGUGUAUGUAUGUACGUAUGUAUAUAUAUAUGCACCAAGGAAAAUAAAUAGAUUAAGAAAAAUAAAUGCUUUUAUUUGACUUUAUCAUUCAUUUUAAUUGAAUUUUUUUUUUUUCAAAUGUAUUAUUAUUUUUUGACUUUUUCUUUUUUUAAAGCCUGUCACAUCUGUGAAUGUGGAAUGUGUUUUGUUGGUUGAUUGAAAAACAAGAAAACUUUCAACUUUAAAUUGAAAAAAUAUAUAUAUCCAAUUCUACCCAUAUAACCCCAAAAAUGAGUGUCAGUGAGAGAGAGAAAGAACACCAACAUUGCUGUCUGCCAAGCCACUCAUUACAGAGAACCAGGGACAAGACACUUGUCCAGCUUUACGUUGCCCUUGCAACCUCAACUUCCUAACUCCUAUACUUUGUAAGGAUUGCGGUGUGGGGAUCACAAAAUGGUCUCAACGUAAACUUCGAUCUGAAGCCAUUCUUGUGAUUUUGCUAUUGUAAAUGUUUGUAGGCUUAUGUAGCCAAAUUGUAUCUAUGAUCGUACGCUAUCCAUUUAUGUUUUUUGUAUGCUAUUUUAAUAUAUGAGAAUUAACCAAUGAUAUCAGGCCACAACUGGCCAUGAUUACAGACACCUGUGUGUCUCUUUUGACACUAUAUAAAUGAGUCAUCUCAAGAGUGUGUCAUUAUACCCUGAUGAAGACAGCUUGUCUUUUGAAAUGUUGGACAUAAAUAUUUUUGCAUCUGAGCUCCUAGAGUGUGCGGUUCUCCUUUAUUUUUUUUAAGUGUUCUACUCUGCUUGCCAGUACCUCGCCUAAAUGGGUGUGCGUUUCUUUCGCCUCAGGAUCACGAAAUGCCUAGAGCUUUC
ensembl:lncRNA